GCGCGAAAACUUUACAAUGCUGGAAACAGCGAUAAGGGGACCUCGAGUGCCAGGUUACAAAUCUGGCUGUCGUGAUGCCUAAAAAGCAUUGCAUAGCAAGGGCCGGGCAAGACCGGUGCCAGCCGCCGCGGUAACACCGGCGGCUCGAGUGGUAACCGUUAUUAUUGGGUCUAAAGGGUCUGUAGCCGGCCGGAUAAGUCUCUUGGGAAAUCUGGCAGCUUAACUGUCAGGCUUUCAGGAGAUACUGUCUGGCUCGAGGCCGGGAGAGGUGAGAGGUACUUCAGGGGUAGGGGUGAAAUCUUGUAAUCCUUGAAGGACCACCAGUGGCGAAGGCGUCUCACCAGAACGGACCUGACGGCAAGGGACGAAAGCUAGGGGCACGAACCGG
rnacentral:rRNA from 1 species